rnacentral:misc_RNA from 1 species
UCCGGUUUGUCACCGGCGGUCUCCUUAGAGUUCCCAACUAAAUGAUGGCAACUAAGGACAAGGGUUGCGCUCGUUGCGGGACUUAACCCAACAUCCCACGACACGAGCUGACGACAGCCAUGCAGCACCUGUCUCUCGGUUCCCGAAGGUACCAAGUCAUCUCUGACAAGUUCCGAGGAUGUCAAGACCAGGUAAGGUUCUUCGCGUUGCAUCGAAUUAAACCACAUGCUCCACCGCUUGUGCGGGUCCCCGUCAAUUCCUUUGAGUUUCGGUCUUGCGACCGUACUCCCCAGGCGGAGUGUUUCACGCGUUAGCUGGGCCCCUGAUCCACGUAGACCAAGGGCGAACACUCAUCGUUUACGGCAUGGACUAC